GUGAAGUCGUAACAAGGUAACCGUAGGGGAACCUGCGGUUGGAUCACCUCCUUACCUGAAGAUACC
rnacentral:rRNA from 1 species